rnacentral:lncRNA from 1 species
AUCAGCAGCGGGAAUUCUCUGCUUCCUUGUUCCCCUUGGGCUAGUACAAGAAUCCUGGGGUCCUCGUAAGAACUUCCAUUUUAUGUUCUUGUCUUCUCAUCAGUUUGAGUUGUGUCUUUAACAUGGGAGAGAAAAACAACUUGCAAGAUUUUCUUUCGAGCUGAUUACCAACUCCUACCACUGUUAACCCUCAUCCAGGAACAAGCUUAUGUCUUUAACAUUCUGAGUGGGCUUCAGCAUCCUUGCAUAUGUUCAAUUCUCAAAAACCUGUUGAAAUAAAAGAUCAGGAGACAUAGGAAGGAUGCCAGAAGAGAGCGUGGUAAGUGGGGGAGAAUCUUUCCCCAAGGGAUUGGAGGUAUUUCAGGAUUAGACUAUGUAUAUCUAUAAGCAUGCAUAUAUAUUUA